AAUUUUUAUUUAAAAAAUAAAAUUUUAUUUUAUUUUUAAAAAAAUAUGAUGGAAUGUGUGAAUUUAAUUCAAAAGUAAAUUUGAUUGACUAGAAACAUAAAUGAUGUUGUAGAAUGCAAUGGAAGUAUUCGUUCACUCUUUUUGCGUAAGUGACGCGCUAGAACGCGAUAAGUUCGGAUCGUAGAGAUUGAUUCACAUAUUCUCGCAUUGUUCACGAAGGUCUUCUAAUGUUUCAAACCC
rnacentral:lncRNA from 1 species